CAGUAGCCACGGGAAAACGUAGGGUGCGAGCGUUAAUCGGAAUUACUGGGCGUAAAGCGUGCGCAGGCGGUUCGUUAAGACAGAUGUGAAAUCCCCGGGCUUAACCUGGGAACUGCAUUUGUGACUGGCGAGCUAGAGUAUGGCAGAGGGGGGUAGAACUCCACGUGUAGCAGUGAAAUGCGUAGAGAUGUGGAGGAAUACCGAUGGCGAAGGCAGCCCCCUGGGCCAAUACUGACGCUCAUGCACGAAAGCGUGGGGAGCAAACAGGAUUAGAGACCCCUGUAGUCCCUGUCUCUUAUAC
rnacentral:rRNA from 1 species